rnacentral:rRNA from 1 species
AGAGUUUGAUCCUGGCUCAGGAUGAACGCUAGCUACAGGCUUAACACAUGCAAGUCGAGGGGAAACGACAUCGAAAGCUUGCUUUUGAUGGGCAUCGACCGGCGCACGGGUGAGUAACGCGUAUCCAACCUGCCCACCACUUGGGGAUAACCUUGCGAAAGUAAGACUAAUACCCAAUGAUAUCUCUAGAAGACAUCUGAAAGAGAUUAAAGAUUUAUCGGUGAUGGAUGGGGAUGCGUCUGAUUAGCUUGUUGGCGGGGUAACGGCCACAAGGCGACGAUCAGUAGGGGUCUGAGAGGAGGUCCCCCACAUUGGAACUGAGACACGGUCCAAACUCCGUACGGGAGGCA